UCUGAUGGGAGAGACCAGGGUAUUGCAAAUCAUUUUCAUAUCACAUCAGAAUGUUAAUGUUUCCAGGUAUUAAAGGACCACAUCAGAAUGUUUCCAGGUAUUAAAGGACCACAUCAGAAUGUUAAUGUUUCCAGGUAUUAAAGGACCACAUCAGAAUGUUAAUGUUUCUAGGUAUUAAAGGACCACAUCAGAAUAUUAAUGUUUCUAGGUAUUAAAGGACCACAUCAGAAUGUUUCUAGGUAUUAAAGGACCACAUCAGAAUGUUAAUGUUUCUAGUUAUUAAAGGACCACAUCAGAAUGUUAAUGUUUCUAGGUAUUAAAGGACCACAGCAGAAUGUUAAUGUUUCCAGGUAUUAAAGGACCACAUCAGAAUGUUAAUGUUUCUAGGUAUUAAAGGACCACAUCAGAAUGUUUCUUGUUAUUAAAGGACCACAUCAGAAUAUUAAUGUUUCCAGGUAUUAAAGGACCACAUCAGAAUGUUUCUUGUUAUUAAAGGACCACAUCAGAAUGUUAAUGUUUCCAGGUAUUAAAGGACCACAUCAGAAUAUUAAUGUUUCUAGGUAUUAAAGGACCACAUCAGAAUGUUAAUGUUUCUAGGUAUUAAAGGACCACAUCAGAAUGUUAAUGUUUCUAGGUAUUAAAGGACCACAUCAGAAUAUUAAUGUUUCUAGGUAUUAAAGGACCACAUCAGAAUGUUUCUAGGUAUUAGAGGACCACAUCAGAAUAUUAAUGUUUCCAGGUAUUAAAGGACCACAUCAGAAUGUUAAUGUUUCUAGGUAUUAAAGGACCACAUCAGAAUGUUUCUAGGUAUUAAAGGACCACAUCAGAAUGUUAAUGUUUCUAGGUAUUAAAGGACCACAUCAGAAUGUUAAUGUUUCCAGGUAUUAAAGGACCACAUCAGAAUGUUAAUGUUUCUAGGUAUUAAAAGACCACAUCAGAAUGUUAAUGUUUCUAGGUAUUAAAAGACCACAUCAGAAUGUUAAUGUUUCUAGGUAUUAAAAGACCACAUCAGAAUGUUAAUGUUUCUAGGUAUUAAAAGACCACAUCAGAAUGUUAAUGUUUCCAGGUAUUAAAGGACCAAGGACAGGUUAUCUAAGACUUGCUGAAAGAUCAUAUGUUAUACUGUAUGGUGACAUUGUUAAAGUAUUUGGUUUUUCCAUUUAUGUUUUGAGGUUGGGCUUUAGCACGUUAGUAUGUGGGGCGCACCGAUUGGUGUCACCUCAUGAUGUCUAAGAGUGGCUGGCCCAGUGCUCCAGUUGGCUUGAGAGAUGUUGAAAGAGUGGCACCUCUUUGUAGCAUUGCUUCUUUAAGUUGAUAAAGUAUUUUGGGUUCAUAUCUUAGAUUUCGUUUGUGCCACUUUUGUAUUUACUCCAUAUUCUAAGUUGUUUUUUGUUUUAGUUUGCCUGGGGCCACUUUAGUGGGCACUCAUGGUGGGUGUCUUUGUCACGCCCUGACCAUAGAGAGCUUUUUAUUCUCUAUGUUGGUUUGGUCGGGGUGUGACUAGGGUGGGUCAUCUAGGUAAUUAUAUUUCUAUGUUGGCCUGGUAUGGUUCCCAAUCAGAGGCAGCUGUUAAUCGUUGUCUCUGGUUGGGGAUCAUAUUUAGGCAGCCAUUUCCCCUUUGUGCUUUGUGGGAUCUUGACUAUGUAUAGUUGCCUGUGAGCACUAUAGCAGCUUCACGUUUGUUUUGUAUUUAUUGUUCUUUUUGAGUUUCACUUCAUAAUAAAGAGGAUGGAACCAUA